GCUCUAGUGGCGCAAUCGGUCAGCACGCAGUACUUAUACAGCAGUGCACAGGGGAGUCAUGCCGAGUUUGUGAGUUCACGCCUCACCUGGAGCA
rnacentral:tRNA from 1 species